UACGGAGGGUGCAAGCGUUGUCCGGAAUUAUUGGGCGUAAAGAGCUCGUAGGCGGUUUGUUGCGUCGGCUGUGAAAUCCCGAGGCUCAACCUCGGGUCUGCAGUCGAUACGAGCAAACUAGAGUGUUGCAGGGGAGACUGGAAUUCCUGGUGUAGCGGUGAAAUGCGCAGAUAUCAGGAGGAACACCGGUGGCGAAGGCGGGUCUCUGGACAGUUCCUGACGCUGAGGCGCGAAAGCUAGGGGAGCGAACAGG
rnacentral:rRNA from 1 species